UACAGAGGUCCCGAGCGUUGUUCGGAUUCAUUGGGCGUAAAGGGUGCGUAGGCGGCGGGGAAAGUCUGAUGUGAAAUCCUGGGGCUCAACCCUGGAACUGCAUUGGAUACUUCCUUGCUAGAGUACUGGAGAGGAAACUGGAAUUUACGGUGUAGCAGUGAAAUGCGUAGAGAUCGUAAGGAAGACCAGUGGCGAAGGCGAGUUUCUGGACAGUUACUGACACUGAGGCACGAAGGCCAGGGGAGCAAACGGG
rnacentral:rRNA from 1 species